rnacentral:rRNA from 1 species
GAUGAACGCUGGCGGCGUGCCUAACACAUGCAAGUUGAGCGAUUCACUUCGGUGAAGAGCGGCGGACGGGUGAGUAACGCGGGGGUAACCUGCCUCAUACACAUGGAUAACAUACCGAAAGGUAUGCUAAUACAAGAUGAUAUAAGAGAUUCGCAUGGAUUUCUUAUCAAAGCUCCGGCGGUAUGAGAUGGACCCGCGUCUGAUUAGCUAGUUGGUAAGGUAACGGCUUACCAAGGCGACGAUCAGUAGCCGACCUGAGAGGGUGAUCGGCCACAUUGGAACUGAGACACGGUCCAAACUCCUACGGGAGGCAGCAGUGGGGAAUAUUGCACAAUGGGCGAAAGCCUGAUGCAGCAACGCCGCGUGAGCGAUGAAGGCCUUCGGGUCGUAAAGCUCUGUCCUCAAGGAAGAUAAUGACGGUACUUGAGGAGGAAGCCCCGGCUAACUACGUGCCAGCAGCCGCCGUAAAAC